rnacentral:rRNA from 1 species
GGGUGCUAUCAUUCCAACGUUAAUGCAACAUAUCCCAUCAUAACUCCGCAGUUAAGCACACUUGGGCUAGAGUAGUACUGGGAUGGAUGACCUCCCGGGAAGUCCUAAUGUUGCACCCU